rnacentral:ncRNA from 1 species
GGACAAUGAUGCCGUCUGAACAGUUCCAUACCGUCCCGGAACCAGGGGAAGCCGGUCGAAAUCCGGCGCUGACCCGCAACCGUAGGUCGCUUUGCGACGAGCCGGAGUGCCUGGCCGGGACGUCAGGCUCAA